UGACGCUGGCGGCGUGCUUAACACAUGCAAGUCGAACGAUGAAACCUAGCUUGCUAGGUGGAUUAGUGGCGCACGGGUGAGUAAUAUAUAGGUAAUGUGCCUCUUAGUCUGGGAUAGCCAUUGGAAACGAUGAUUAAUACUGGAUACUCCUUCUAACUCUAAUGUUAGUCGGGAAAGUUUUUCGCUAAGAGAUCAGCCUAUAUCCCAUCAGUUAGUUGGUAAGGUAACGGCUUACCAAGGCAAUGACGGGUAGCGGGUUUGAGAGGAUGAUCCGCCACACUGGUACUGAGACACGGACCAGACUCCUACGGGAGGCAGCAGUGAGGAAUAUUGCACAAUGGGGGAAACCCUGAUGCAGCAACGCCGCGUGGAGGAUGACGCAUUUCGGUGUGUAAACUCCUUUUAUAUGUCAAGAAAAUGACGGUAGCAUAUGAAUAAGCACCGGCUAACUCCGUGCCAGCAGCCGCGGUAAUACGGAGGGUGCAAGCGUUACUCGGAAUCACUGGGCGUAAAGGACGCGUAGGCGGAUUGGAAAGUCAGAUGUGAAAUCCUACAGCUUAACUGUAGAACUGCAUUUGAAACUUCUAAUCUAGAGUAUGGGAGGGGGAGAUGGAAUUAGUGGUGUAGGGGUAAAAUCCGUAGAUAUCACUAGGAAUACCGAAAGCGAAGGCGAUCUCCUGGAACAUUACUGACGCUAAGGCGUGAAAGCGUGGGGAGCAAACAGGAUUAGAUACCCUGGUAGUCCACGCCCUAAACGAUGAACACUAGUCGUCGGGAUGCUUGUCAUCUCGGUGAUGCACUUAACAGAUUAAGUGUUCCGCCU
rnacentral:rRNA from 1 species